GUGUUCGUAAAAAGGAGAGAUGGUUGGCAUUUCCCCCGACAGGGACGGGAACAACCUUUGAGCUUUACCUGUUACCACACAUCCGGUUAAGGCUUCCCACUUUUGUGGAUAUUACCCCAAUUUUUG
rfam:Capsicum annuum cultivar Zunla-1 chromosome 8, whole genome shotgun sequence